rnacentral:lncRNA from 1 species
UCUGGAUAGCCUUCCUUGAUAAUGGCCAUCCGAAGGGAAAUCAAUGCCUCACAAUAUAAUCUUGGCUGAGAACAUAAGUCCUUUUCGUAUGUCUACUCUCCUCCGAAGAAGGGGUAGAGACUGCAGAUCUGGUCCGCUUGCCAGCAUCAGGAGUACUGACAAGAAGAUCAGAUGAAGCAAGUUGGGAAAUCUGACCCGGUUGCUGAGAGCCACCGAUACCAGCACCCUCCCUCCUAAUAUUUCUCCGUUUUCUCAUUUCUCCGCUCCAGACAAUGUUGCCCGUCUCGGAUCAAGUUCAAAGGCAGAGGCAGUAUGCUCCAUAGUCCCUCCGAGAGAGGUAUGCUGGCAACUCCAGCCCCUCAAUACGUAAAGCAGAACUGCCAACUCCGCGGCGAGGCGGAGAAGAAAUGUUUUUGUCAUCCAUGCAACAAAUAUUUACUAGAGAAAACAAAAACGGUCACCGCUAGUUAUCCUCCAAUAGGGAUGGAAGGCUGGCUACGACAAGAUUUCGCCCGGUGACUUAAAAGUUAUCGUUCAGAACACUGCACCUUAUACUAUCCAGUGCCACUCAAUUCUCAGCACAAUGUUUACAGCUUAAUUUGGAUAAUAC